rnacentral:rRNA from 1 species
CCUACGGGAGGCAGCAGCAGGGAAUCUUGGGCAAUGGGCGAAAGCCUGACCCAGCGACGUCGCGUGGGGGACGAAGGCCUUAGGGUUGUAAACCCCUUUUCCGAGGGAAGAUACAGGACGGUACCUCGGGAAUAAGCCCCGGCUAACUACGUGCCAGCAGCCGCGGUAAUACGUAGGGGGCGAGCGUUACCCGGAAUCACUGGGCGUAAAGUGCGCGUAGGCGGUUGGAUAAGUCUCUUGUGAAAGCUCCCGGCUCAACUGGGAGAGGUCAAGGGAUACUAUUCGACUUGAGGACAACAGAGGUAAGCAGAAUUCCCGGUGUAGCGGUGGAAUGCGUAGAUAUCGGGAGGAACACCAGUGGCGAAAGCGGCUUACUGGGUUGUAACUGACGCUGAGGCGCGAGAGCGUGGGGAGCAAACUGGAUUAGAUACCCAGGUAGUCCACGCCCUAAACGAUGGAUACUAGGUAUGGGGGGUAUUGACCCCCUCCGUGCCGUAGCUAACGCGUUAAGUAUCCCGCCUGG